rnacentral:rRNA from 1 species
GUGCCAGCAGCCGCGGUAAUACGUAGGUGGCGAGCGUUGUCCGGAAUUACUGGGUGUAAAGGGCGUGUAGGCGGGUUGUCAAGUCGGAUGUGAAAUCCCGGGGCUUAACUCCGGGGCUGCAUCUGAAACUGAUGAUCUUGAGUGCUGGAGAGGAAAGCGGAAUUCCUAGUGUAGCGGUGAAAUGCGUAGAUAUUAGGAGGAACACCAGUGGCGAAGGCGGCUUUCUGGACAGUAACUGACGCUGAGGCGCGAAAGCGUGGGGAGCAAACAGGAUUAGAUACCCUGGUAGUCCACGCUGUAAACGAUGGAUACUAGGUGUAGGAGGUAUCGACCCCUUCUGUGCCGCAGUUAACACAAUAAGUAUCCCACCUGGGGAGUACGGCCGCAAGGUUGAA